rnacentral:rRNA from 1 species
GUCAGAUAGGGGGAGGUAGGGACGGGAAUACGUGGGUGGCAGGGGUUGGCGGGGAUUAGUGUGGGUAAAGCGGUCUGAGGAGGGUGGUCGCGACGGAUGUUAAAGCCCGGGGCAUAACCCCGGGUCUGCAUUCUAGACGGGCAGGGUGGGGUGGGGGAGGGGAGAUCGGAAUUCCUGGGGUAGCGGUGAAAUGCGCAGAUAUCAGGAGGAACACCGGUGGCGUAGGCGGAUCUCUGGGCCAUUACUGACGCUGAGGAGCGAAAGCGUGGGGAGCGAACAGGAUUAGAUACCCCGGUAGUC